AUGAUCUGUUUCAACUGUGGGGGUCCGGGUCACUAUGUGGGGAAUUGUGUGAAGCCAAAGGCCUGUUUUAUUUGCCAGCAAAAUCACAACGUUAACAACUGUGCAGCCUGGUCAAAGGUUCAACCCACUGCUGCUUUCUUUGGCAGUGGAGCUCGAGGGCUUGGUUUCUACCAUGUUGAUGUACCCAUAGCUAAUGAGUCGAAGUGGUUGAAUUUCCAAAACUAUGCUGUGGUGAACAUACUAAAAGGAGAUGUGGAUUGCCCCAAGUUGAUGGAACUCUUGACUGCAACAUUUUGCAAAACUAGGCAGUGGCCAUGGCAAAUAUGAGGAUUAUCCAGCAAGACCUUUUUGGUUAGGUUCCCCCCUUGUAAGAAAGUGGAAGAUCUCAUUGAGUUGCCUGGGUUCUCCCUGCCUCAAGAUGUAAAUGUCACCCUGACUGAAUGGAAGGGUGGAUGUGAGCCUUUUGGGGAAUUGAUUGAAGCCUGGGUGCUAAUUGAGGGCAUCCCUCCCAAGUGGUGUACAUGGAAAGUUUUUGCUCAAAUUGCUUCACUCUUUGGGGUGUUAACUGAUGUUGAUUGGAAUGGUAUGUUUAGGAAUUUCUUUGAAAAUGUCAGGAUUAAGAUUGCUUGCAGAGAUCCAACUAAGAUACCAUUUGAGAGGCUGAUUGAGAUGAAGAAGAAACUCUUCCUGCUAGGCUUUACUGUUGAGGGAUUUGAACAAGUGGGUGGAAUAGACUCUGUCAUUGAUAUUGAGGAUGAUGAGGAUGGUGAUGAGGAAGAAGGAAAAGCUGAAGAGGAUCAAACAGAAGAGGGCAGAAAAACUCAUGAAGAACAUAAUUCUGAUGGAUUAGAGGAUGGGGGUUUAGCCAUUGAUGAGCUGGACAAAGCUAACUUCUCAUCCAAACAUGGUUCUGCCAACAAACAUGUAGCACAAGGUUUGGUGUUCUCACCAAUGGAACCUUUCCUUGACUAUGACCAGGAGAACUUUGUCCUGGCAUGUGCUUUAUCUAAAGCUGACAAAAUUACUACAUCUUCUGGUGAAACAACUACUGGUGAAACAAAACAGUGA
rnacentral:rRNA from 1 species